rnacentral:sRNA from 1 species
AGAGUCACUGGCUCAAGUCAGUCACUAUGAGACACCUGGGAAAACUGCCCCACCUUGUGGCUCCACUGCCUGAUGACUGAACUGACUCCAGGCUUGACCUCUGGUCUCCCCUGUGUUAUUUCUGCUGAAGUACCCAGUCCCAGGCCAGGCUUUCCAGUACCCAAAGGGUUUUAAGGACAAUGGGAAGUUCCAUCAUCCAUCUCUAGGAUGUCCUUGGCAAGGGAAGCUGAAGAGAAACAUACCUUGGGGGGCAAAGUAAGACUGAAAACUAAGAAGAUUCCCAGCACUGCAUGCUCCAAGUAGGACCAAAGAUGGAGACUCCCAAGCCCUCCAUCUCCAGCAGCAACUUAAACCCCAGGGAGGCGAUGGAGAGCUGUGAGUAUUAACCUGUUGAUCCUGAGACUGCCAGGACGCAAGCUACCAGUGGUGGAUGAAUGGUCAGAGCCUCCUAUGACUCAUAGGUUGCAGCUGUCCGAAACCAACAGACCCUCUCUCUAUUGGUGUCACAAAGUAUACUGCAGGACCCUAUGAAUGUGAAAUACGGAACUCAGUGAGUGCCAGCCGCAGUGACCCUUCACCCUGAAUCUCUCCCGAAGCUGCCCAUGCCCUACAUCACCAUCAACAACUUAAACCCAGGGAGAAUAAGGAUGUCUUAGCCUUCACCUGUGAACCUAGAGUGAGAACUAACCUACAUUUGGUGGCUAAAUGGUCAGAGCCUCCCGGUCAGUCCCGGGUAAAGCGACCCAUUGAAAACAGGAUCCUCAUUCUACCCAGUGUCACGAGAAAUGAAACAGGACCCUAUCAAUGUGAAUACGGGACCGAUAUGGUGGCAUCCGCAGUACCCAGUCACCCUGAAUGUCCUCU